rnacentral:rRNA from 1 species
CCUGGUUGAUCCUGCCAGUAGUCAUAUGCUUGUCUCAAAGAUUAAGCCAUGCAUGUGUAAGUACAGGCCGACUUAAGGCGAAACCGCGGACGGCUCAUUAAAUCAGAUAUAACUCAUUGGAUCUCUGCUGAACCGCAUUACUUGGAUAACUGUGGUAAUUCUAGAGCUAAUACAUGCCUUUGUAGUCUCCGACCGCGAGGGAGGAGCGCUUUUAUUAGACCAAAACCCUCGGCAGCCGGUUCCCGCAAGGGCCGGCCGCACACAUCUUGGUGAAUCAGAAUAACUUUUGCCGAGCGCACGACCCCUCCCGUAACCCGGGUUGGGUCGGCGCCGCGUCCUGCAGGCGUCUGCCUUAUCAGCUCUCGAUUGUAGGUUAAACGCCUACAAUGGCUAUCACGGGUAACGGGGAAUCAGGGUUCGAUUCCGGAGAGGGAGCCUGAGAAACGGCUACCACAUCUAAGGAAGGCAGCAGGCGCGCAAAUUACCCACUCCCGGCACGGGGAGGUAGUGACGAAAAAUACUGUUGCGAGCCCCGAACGGGGCCUCGCAAUUGGAAUGAGUACACUUUAAAUCCUUGUACGAGGAUCGAGUGGAGGGCAAGUCUGGUGCCAGCCGCCGCGGUAAUUCCAGCUCCACUAGCGUAUAUUAAAGUUGUUGCGGUUGAAACGCUCGUAGUUUGACUUCUGCUCCGGACCGGCGGUCCGCCUUAGCGGCGGCUACUGCCGGGUUCCGAGCUGUGUCCCCGCCGGCGCACAUGGGGUUUUUAUGCCCUUAACCGGGUGUCCCUUGUGGCCGGCACGUUUACUUUGAAAAAAUUAGAGUGCUCAGAGCAGGCUGGUUUUUGCUUACAGCCCGAAUGGUCGUGCAUGGAAUGAUGGAACAGGACCUCGGUUCUAUUUUGUCGGUUUUUCGGAACCCGAGGUAAUGAUUAAUAGAAGCAGACGGGGGCAUUCGUACUGCGACGCUAGAGGUGAAAUUCUUAGACCGUCGCAUGACGACCUACUGCGAAAGCAUCUGCCAAGGAUGUUUUCAUUGAUCAAGAACGAAAGUUAGAGGUUCGAAGGCGAUCAGAUACCGCCCUAGUUCUAACCUUAAACGAUGCUGACUAGCGAUCCGCCGCAGUUAUUCCCAUGACCGGCGGGUAGCUUCCGGGAAACCAAAGUCUUUGAGUUCCGGGGGAAGUAUGGUUGCAAAGCUGAAACUUAAAGGAAUUGACGGAAGGGCACCACCAGGAGUGGAGCCUGCGGCUCAAUUUGACUCAACACGGGGAAACUCACCAGGCCAGGACACCGGAAGGAUUGACAGAAUGAAGGCUCUUUCUCGAUUCGGUGGGGUGGUGGUGCAUGGCCGUUCUUAGUUGGUGGAGUGAUCUGUCUGGUUAAUUCCGAUAACGAACAACAACGACCUGCACGCGCCCAUCAAGAAGUGGGAGGGAGGCGGCCUGCCCGGCCCCUAUACCAACGCCACAGGCACUAUGGCUUACUUCGAGAUUUGCCUCAUGAUGAAGGAGGACUCGGAGUGGGUCGAUCGCUACGAUGACAUCGGCCUCGUCCCCUUCACUCACAAAGGCGACCAGUGGGUGGGCUACGAGGACCCGACAGCCUCAAGAUCAAGAUGGACUUCAUCCGCGAGCAGGGUUAUCUCGGCGCCAUGACCUGGGCCAUCGAUCAGGACGACUUCCGGAACUGGUGUGGAAGGGGACAAAACCCGAUGAUGAACACCAUUUACAAUGGCAUGAAGGACUACGUAGUCCCUGUUGCUCCCACUCUU